rnacentral:rRNA from 1 species
AACGAACGCUGGCGGCAUGCCUAACACAUGCAAGUCGAACGAGAUCUUCGGGUCUAGUGGCGCACGGGUGCGUAACGCGUGGGAAUCUGCCCUUUGGUUCGGAAUAACAGUUGGAAACGACUGCUAAUACCGGAUGAUGACGAAAGUCCAAAGAUUUAUCGCCAGAGGAUGAGCCCGCGUAGGAUUAGCUAGUUGGUGUGGUAAAGGCGCACCAAGGCGACGAUCCUUAGCUGGUCUGGGAGGAUGAUCGGACACACUGGGACUGAGACACGGCCCCGACUCCUACGGGAGGCAGCAGUGGAGAAUAUUGGACAAUGGGCGAAAGCCUAAUCCAGCAAUGCCGCGUGAGUGAUGAAGGCCUUAGGGUUGUAAAGCUCUCUUACCCGGGAUGAUAAUGACAGUACCGGGAGAAUAAGCUCCGGCUAACUCCGUGCCAGCAGCCGCCGUAA